rnacentral:rRNA from 1 species
AGCACCGGCUAACUCCGUGCCAGCAGCCGCGGUAAUACGGAGGGUGCAAGCGUUAAUCGGAAUUACUGGGCGUAAAGCGCACGCAGGCGGUUUGUUAAGUCAGAUGUGAAAUCCCCGGGCUCAACCUGGGAACUGCAUCUGAUACUGGCAAGCUUGAGUCUCGUAGAGGGGGGUAGAAUUCCAGGUGUAGCGGUGAAAUGCGUAGAGAUCUGGAGGAAUACCGGUGGCGAAGGCGGCCCCCUGGACGAAGACUGACGCUCAGGUGCGAAAGCGUGGGGAGCAAACAGGAUU